AGCUAGUUGGUGGGGUAAGAGCCUACCAAGGCAUCGAUCAGUAGCUGGUCUGAGAGGAUGAUCAGCCACACUGGGACUGAGACACGGCCCAGACUCCUACGGGAGGCAGCAGUGGGGAAUUUUCCGCAAUGGGCGCAAGCCUGACGGAGCAACGCCGCGUGAGGGAUGAAGGCCUCUGGGCUGUAAACCUCUUUUCUCAAGGAAGAAGAACUGACGGUACUUGAGGAAUAAGCCACGGCUAAUUCCGUGCCAGCAGCCGCGGUAAUACGGGAGUGGCAAGCGUUAUCCGGAAUUAUUGGGCGUAAAGCGUCCGCAGGCGGUCUUGAAAGUCUGUUGUUAAAGCGUGGAGCUCAACUCCAUUUCAGCAAUGGAAACUAGAAGACUAGAGUGUGGUAGGGGCAGAGGGAAUUCCCGGUGUAGCGGUGAAAUGCGUAGAUAUCGGGAAGAACACCAGUGGCGAAGGCGCUCUGCUGGGCCAUAACUGACGCUCAUGGACGAAAGCCAGGGGAGCGAAAGGGAUUAGAUACCCCUGUAGUCCUGGCCGUAAACGAUGAACACUAGGUGUCGGGGGAAUCGACCCCCUCGGUGUCGUAGCCAACGCGUUAAGUGUUCCGCCUGGGGAGUACGCACGCAAGUGUGAAACUCAAAGGAAUUGACGGGGGCCCGCACAAGCGGUGGAGUAUGUGGUUUAAUUCGAUGCAACGCGAAGAACCUUACCAGGGUUUGACAUCCUGCGAAUCUUUUGGAAACAGAAGAGUGCCUUCGGGAGCGCAGAGACAGGUGGUGCAUGGCUGUCGUCAGCUCGUGUCGUGAGAUGUUGGGUUAAGUCCCGCAACGAGCGCAACCCACGUCUUUAGUUGCCAGCAUUGAGUUGGGCACUCUAGAGAGACCGCCGGUGAUAAACCGGAGGAAGGUGUGGAUGACGUCAAGUCAUCAUGCCCCUUACAUCCUGGGCUACACACGUACUACAAUGCUACGGACAGAGGGCAGCAAACUCGCGAGAGCUAGCAAAUCCCAUAAACCGUGGCUCAGUUCAGAUCGUAGGCUGCAACUCGCCUACGUGAAGGAGGAAUCGCUAGUAAUCGCAGGUCAGCAUACUGCGGUGAAUACGUUCCCGGGCCUUGUACACACCGCCCGUCACACCAUGGAAGUUGGCCAUGCCCGAAGUCGUUACUCCAACCCUUGUGGAGGAGGACGCCGAAGGUGGGGCUGAUGACUGGGGUGAAGUCGAAACAAGGUAGCCGUACCGGAAGGUGCGGCUG
rnacentral:rRNA from 1 species